rnacentral:rRNA from 1 species
GACGAACGCUGGCGGCGGGCUUAACACAUGCAAGUCGAACGGAAAGGCCCUGCUUGUGUGGGGUUCUCGAGGGGCGAACGGGUGAGUAACACGUGAGUAACCUGCCCUUGACUUUGGGAUAACUUCAGGAAACUGGGGCUAAUACCGGAUAGGAGCUCCUGCUGCAGGGUGGGGGUUGGAAAUUUUAGGCUGUAGGGGAUGGACUCGCGGCUUAUCAGCUUGUUGGUGGGGUAGUGGCUUACCAAGGCUUUGACGGGUAGCCGGCCUGAGAGGGUGACCGGCCACCAUGGGACUGAGAUACGGAGCAGACGCCUAUGGGAGGCAGUAGUGGGGAAUCUUGCCCAAUGGGAGGACGUCUGAUGAAGAAACGCUGCGUGUGGGAUGACGGCCUUCGGGGUGUAAACCGCAUUAGCUUGUGACGAAGCGUGAGUGACGGUAAUGGGUAAAGAAGCACCGGCUAACUACGUG